GAUGAACGCUGGCGGCGUGCCUAAUACAUGCAAGUCGAGCGAACAGAUGGGAGCUUGCUCCUCUGACGUUAGCGGCGGACGGGUGAGUAACACGUGGAUAACCUACCUAUAAGACUGGGAUAACUUCGGGAAACCGGAGCUAAUACCGGAUAAUAUAUUGAACCGCAUGGUUCAAUAGUGAAAGACGGUUUUGCUGUCACUUAUAGAUGGAUCCGCGCCGCAUUAGCUAGUUGGUAAGGUAACGGCUUACCAAGGCAACGAUGCGUAGCCGACCUGAGAGGGUGAUCGGCCACACUGGAACUGAGACACGGUCCAGACUCCUACGGGAGGCAGCAGUAGGGAAUCUUCCGCAAUGGGCGAAAGCCUGACGGAGCAACGCCGCGUGAGUGAUGAAGGUCUUCGGAUCGUAAAACUCUGUUAUUAGGGGAGAACAAAUGUGUAAGUAACUAUGCACGUCUUGACGGUACCUAAUCAGAAAGCCACGGCUAACUACGUG
rnacentral:rRNA from 1 species